rnacentral:rRNA from 1 species
AGUGAACGCUGGCGGUAGGCCUAACACAUGCAAGUCGAACGGCAGCACAGGAGAGCUUGCUCUCUGGGUGGCGAGUGGCGGACGGGUGAGGAAUACAUCGGAAUCUACUCUGUCGUGGGGGAUAACGUAGGGAAACUUACGCUAAUACCGCAUACGACCUACGGGUGAAAGCAGGGGACCUUCGGGCCUUGCGCGAUUGAAUGAGCCGAUGUGGGAUUAGCGAGUUGGCGGGGUAAAGGCCCACCAAGGCGACGAUCCGUAGCUGGUCUGGAAGGAUGAUCAGCCAAACUGGAACUGAGACACGGUCCAGACUCCUACGGGAGGCAGCAGUGGGGAAUAUUGGACAAUGGGCGCAAGCCUGAUCCAGCCAUACCGCGUGGGUGAAGAAGGCCUUCGGGUUGUAAAGCCCUUUUGUUGGGAAAGAAAUCCAGCUGGCUAAUACCCGGUUGGGAUGACGGUACCCAAAGAAUAAGCACCGGCUAACUUCGUGCCAGCCGCCGCCGUAA